CUCUGUUUCCCUGGAGACGCUCUCCGCGUCCACUCCGCUUAGGCGGAGCCAGGUCUCAGAAUCUAGCAAGAGGAGGGGGCAGCGCCUGCGUCCAGCACCUGCCGCCGGUGGGGGACUUAGUUCGGCGGAACCGAAAACUGGAGUUGUUCACCUGGGCCAGUGCACCAAGGCUAAAGUCUAUAAGCCUGGAGAGACCAUCAGCAGUAAUCUGUAAAUUCCGAAAUGACCACUCUGCCUCCACUGCCCAUGAUACGCCCAAAGCUUACAGCCUUAGCCAGACAGAAGCUGCCAUGCUCCUCCAGAAAAAUUUCAAAGUCUCAACUGAUCAAAGAAAAAGAUGACAUAGAUCAUUAUCUAGAGGUGAAUUUCAAAGGAUUGUCAAAAGAGGAGGUUGCUGCUUAUAGGAACUCCUACAAGAAGAACGUCUGUGUGGACAUGCUGCGAGAUGGUUAUCAUAAGUCCUUCACCGAGCUCUUCGCUCUGAUGGAGCAGUGGGAUGCCCUGAGGGAGGCUGCGAGAGUCAGGUCCCUCUUUUGGCCUCAGAAGCCCCUGGAGGAUCAGCCUGAUAAACUGGAUCACUUCUACCACUACCUGACGAGGGCUGAGUACGCUGAGAGGAAGGGAUCCUUUGAAGAUGUGUAUAAUAACUUGUAUGCUCUGGCCUGUUACUUCAAUAAUUCUGAAGACAAGUGGGUAAGGAACCACUUCUACAAACGAUGUUUUAAGAUUGCUCAGCUGAUCAAAAUUGACAGUGGGAAGAAAGAAGCCGAGGCACAUAUGCACAUGGGUCUUCUCUACGAGGAAGAUGGUCAGCUUCUGGAAGCUGCUGAGCAUUAUGAAGCAUUCCAUCAAUUGACUCAGGGACGGAUAUGGAAGGAUGAGACAGGCCACUUUCUCAACUUCUUGGCCUGUGAGAGUCUCCUGAGGACUUACAGAUUACUCUCAGACAAAAUGUUGGAAAAUAAAGAAUACAAACAGGCCAUCAAAAUUCUAAUAAAAGCUUCUGAAAUAGCCAAAGAAGGAGGUGACAAAAAGAUGGAAGGGGAAGCCUGUUACUACUUGGGCUUAGCACAUUUAGCUGCUGAAGAAUAUGACUUAGCAUUAACAGUCCUUGACACUUACUGUAAAAUCUCUACAGACCUGGGUGAUGAUCUCAGCCUGGGGAGAGCCUAUGAAGCCAUCGCCAAGGUCCUGCAGAGCCAAGGAGAGAUGACAGAAGCAAUUAAAUACUUGGAAAAAGUAGUGAAAAUUGCAAGAAACAAUUUUCAAAGCCUAGAUUUUGUGAGAGCAAGUACAAUGCUUGGGGACAUCUACAAUCAAAAAGGACACUACAAGAAAGCUUCUGAAUGCUUUCAGCAAGCUUUUGACACAGCAUUAGAGCUAAUGAGCAUGCCUCUGAUGGACGAGACAGAAGUCCACUAUGGAAUAGCAAAAGCUCAUCAGAUGAUGCUUACAGUGAACAACUACAUAGAGUCUGCAGAUCUUACCAGCCUCAAUUCCCUGCUCUCAUGGAAGGAGCGCAGAGGUGACAUUGAAUCUGAUCCAGUUACUGAUUUAGGAGUACAAGUGCAAUUUUGUUACAUGGAUAUAUUGUGUAGCAGUAAAGUCUGGGCUUUUAGUGUAGUGUACCUGUCAUCCAAAUAGUGAACAAUGGAGGCAACAGAAGAGUUUAGAGGAUCCACAGUGGAAGGUGUAUCUCAAAACUCAACAUUUGGAAGAACUCAGCAGAUUUCCAGGUGAUCAAAAAAAUCAAACUUAAAGCAGCUUUUCACUUAACAUCAAAGCAAGAAGAAAUCCCUCAUGUCACUUAGACUUCGAUACUUGUCUUGAGUCUUGAGACUUCAAUACUUGUAAUAGAAGCAUGUUACAAAUAAUAAAGAGUUAUGAUAAAACUGACUAUGACUGUUUUCAUU